AUUGAACGCUGGCGGCAUGCCUUACACAUGCAAGUCGAACGGUAACGGGCCUUCGGGUGCCGACGAGUGGCGAACGGGUGAGUAAUACAUCGGAACGUGCCCGAUCGUGGGGGAUAACGAGGCGAAAGCUUUGCUUAUACCGCAUACGAUCUACGGAUGAAAGCAGGGGACCGCAAGGCCUUGCGCGGACGGAGCGGCCGAUGGCAGAUUAGGUAGUUGGUGGGAUAAAAGCUUACCAAGCCGACGAUCUGUAGCUGGUCUGAGAGGAUGAUCAGCCACACUGGGACUGAGACACGGCCCAGACUCCUACGGGAGGCAGCAGUGGGGAAUUUUGGACAAUGGGCGCAAGCCUGAUCCAGCCAUGCCGCGUGCAGGAUGAAGGCCUUCGGGUUGUAAACUGCUUUUGUACGGAACGAAAAGCCUUCUUUUAAUACAGGAGGGUCAUGACGGUACCGUAAGAAUAAGCACCGGCUAACUACGUG
rnacentral:rRNA from 1 species